rnacentral:rRNA from 1 species
UACGAAGGGGGCUAGCGUUGUUCGGAAUCACUGGGCGUAAAGGGCGCGUAGGCGGCGCGACAAGUCAGGCGUGAAAGCCCCGGGCUCAACCCGGGGAAUUGCGCUUGAUACUGUCGUGCUUGAGGCCGGGAGAGGAUGGCGGAAUUCCCAGUGUAGAGGUGAAAUUCGUAGAUAUUCGCAAGAACACCAGUGGCGAAGGCGGCUCACUGGCCCGGUACUGACGCUGAGGUGCGAAAGCGUGGGGAGCAAACAGGG